rnacentral:rRNA from 1 species
CAUGCAAGUCGAGCGGUAAGGCCCUUCGGGGUACACGAGCGGCGAACGGGUGAGUAACACGUGGGUGAUCUGCCCUGCACUUCGGGAUAAGCCUGGGAAACUGGGUCUAAUACCGGAUAUGACCUUCGGCUGCAUGGCUGAGGGUGGAAAGGUUUACUGGUGCAGGAUGGGCCCGCGGCCUAUCAGCUUGUUGGUGGGGUAAUGGCCUACCAAGGCGACGACGGGUAGCCGACCUGAGAGGGUGACCGGCCACACUGGGACUGAGACACGGCCCAGACUCCUACGGGAGGCAGCAGUGGGGAAUAUUGCACAAUGGGCGAAAGCCUGAUGCAGCGACGCCGCGUGAGGGAUGACGGCCUUCGGGUUGUAAACCUCUUUCAGCAGGGACGAAGCGAGAGUGACGGUACCUGCAGAAGAAGCACCGGCCAACUACGUGCCAGCAGCCGCGGUAAUACGUAGGGUGCAAGCGUUGUCCGGAAUUACUGGGCGUAAAGAGCUCGUAGGCGGUUUGUCGCGUCGUCUGUGAAAACUCGAGGCUCAACCUCGAGCUUGCAGGCGAUACGGGCAGACUUGAGUACUGCAGGGGAGACUGGAAUUCCUGGUGUAGCGGUGAAAUGCGCAGAUAUCAGGAGGAACACCGGUGGCGAAGGCGGGUCUCUGGGCAGUAACUGACGCUGAGGAGCGAAAGCGUGGGUAGCGAACAGGAUUAGAUACCCUGGUAGUCCACGCCGUAAACGGUGGGCGCUAGGUGUGGGUUUCCUUCCACGGGAUCCGUGCCGUAGCUAACGCAUUAAGCGCCCCGCCUG